UAACCUACCUAUAAGACUGGGAUAACUUCGGGAAACCGGAGCUAAUACCGGAUAAUAUUUUGAACCGCAUGGUUCAAAAGUGAAAGACGGUCUUGCUGUCACUUAUAGAUGGAUCCGCGCUGCAUUAGCUAGUUGGUAAGGUAACGGCUUACCAAGGCAACGAUGCAUAGCCGACCUGAGAGGGUGAUCGGCCACACUGGAACUGAGACACGGUCCAGACUCCUACGGGAGGCAGCAGUAGGGAAUCUUCCGCAAUGGGCGAAAGCCUGACGGAGCAACGCCGCGUGAGUGAUGAAGGUCUUCGGAUCGUAAAACUCUGUUAUUAGGGAAGAACAUAUGUGUAAGUAACUGUGCACAUCUUGACGGUACCUAAUCAGAAAGCCACGGCUAACUACGUGCCAGCAGCCGCGGUAAUACGUAGGUGGCAAGCGUUAUCCGGAAUUAUUGGGCGUAAAGCGCGCGUAGGCGGUUUUUUAAGUCUGAUGUGAAAGCCCACGGCUCAACCGUGGAGGGUCAUUGGAAACUGGAAAACUUGAGUGCAGAAGAGGAAAGUGGAAUUCCAUGUGUAGCGGUGAAAUGCGCAGAGAUAUGGAGGAACACCAGUGGCGAAGGCGACUUUCUGGUCUGUAACUGACGCUGAUGUGCGAAAGCGUGGGGAUCAAACAGGAUUAGAUACCCUGGUAGUCCACGCCGUAAACGAUGAGUGCUAAGUGUUAGGGGGUUUCCGCCCCUUAGUGCUGCAGCUAACGCAUUAAGCACUCCGCCUGGGGAGUACGACCGCAAGGUUGAAACUCAAAGGAAUUGACGGGGACCCGCACAAGCGGUGGAGCAUGUGGUUUAAUUCGAAGCAACGCGAAGAACCUUACCAAAUCUUGACAUCCUUUGACAACUCUAGAGAUAGAGCCUUCCCCUUCGGGGGACAAAGUGACAGGUGGUGCAUGGUUGUCGUCAGCUCGUGUCGUGAGAUGUUGGGUUAAGUCCCGCAACGAGCGCAACCCUUAAGCUUAGUUGCCAUCAUUAAGUUGGGCACUCUAAGUUGACUGCCGGUGACAAACCGGAGGAAGGUGGGGAUGACGUCAAAUCAUCAUGCCCCUUAUGAUUUGGGCUACACACGUGCUACAAUGGACAAUACAAAGGGCAGCGAAACCGCGAGGUCAAGCAAAUCCCAUAAAGUUGUUCUCAGUUCGGAUUGUAGUCUGCAACUCGACUACAUGAAGCUGGAAUCGCUAGUAAUCGUAGAUCAGCAUGCUACGGUGAAUACGUUCCCGGGUCUUGUACACACCGCCCGUCACACCACGAGAGUUUGUAACACCCGAAGCCGGUGGAGUAACCUUUUAGGAGCUAGCCGUCGAAGGUGGGACAAAUGAUUGGGGUGAAGUCGUAACAAGGUAGCCGUAUCGGAAGGUGCGGCUGGAUCACCUCCUU
rnacentral:rRNA from 1 species